rnacentral:rRNA from 1 species
GUGAAACCGGUAGGAUGGAAACGGAUAGAGCCAACGAACAAGCCCGUAUUCAGCUAGUCGGCUGCGUGCGGCAUGCCUGUGUGCUCGUUCAGGGUGCAUGGGUGUGUGCGGUAUGCGGUCGGCUAGUGCAUUUGCGGGUGAUGUGCGCUGAGGCGUGUGGCGGAGUCCUGCAAACUGUCUGGAGAGGCCUCGCCUUCGGGCUUGAAACCUACAGGCGGGGAGUCGGGUUUCUGCUGCAUGUAGACGAAGCGGCUAGGUGCAAACGCGCUGUCGUGCUGCCGGGCUAGCUGCUUGGCCGGUCGCAUGCGACUAGGUCUUGUUGGUUGGUCUUGGUGGUACGGCAGUGCCCUGGUCGACCCUCGGUGUAAAAGUUGGUCAUCUCUCCGACCCGUCUUGAAACACGGACCAAGGAGUCUAGCGUAUGCGCGAGUCAUUGGGUGGAAAACCCAUAGGCGAAAUGAAAGUGAAGGUCUCUUCAUGAGGCUGAUAUGCGAUCCGUUGCACUACGGUGUACGCGGAGCAGCAUAGCCCCGUCUCGACUGCUUGCAGUGGGGCGGAGGUAGAGCGUAUACGCUGGUACCCGAAAGAUGGUGAACUAUGCCUGAGCAGGAUGAAGCCAGAGGAAACUCUGGUGGAGGUCCGAAGCGCUUCUGACGUGCAAAUCGAUCGUCUGACUUGGGUAUA